rnacentral:rRNA from 1 species
GAGUUUGAUCAUGGCUCAGAUUGAACGCUGGCGGCAGGCCUAACACAUGCAAGUCGAGCGGUAGAGAGAAGCUUGCUUCUCUUGAGAGCGGCGGACGGGUGAGUAAUGCCUAGGAAUCUGCCUGGUAGUGGGGGAUAACGCUCGGAAACGGACGCUAAUACCGCAUACGUCCUACGGGAGAAAGCAGGGGACCUUCGGGCCUUGCGCUAUCAGAUGAGCCUAGGUCGGAUUAGCUAGUUGGUGAGGUAAUGGCUCACCAAGGCGACGAUCCGUAACUGGUCUGAGAGGAUGAUCAGUCACACUGGAACUGAGACACGGUCCAGACUCCUACGGGAGGCAGCAGUGGGGAAUAUUGGACAAUGGGCGAAAGCCUGAUCCAGCCAUGCCGCGUGUGUGAAGAAGGUCUUCGGAUUGUAAAGCACUUUAAGUUGGGAGGAAGGGCAGUAAAUUAAUAACUUUGCUGUUUUGACGUUACCGACAGAAUAAGACACCGGCUAACUCUGUGCCA